UUCAGUAGCAGUUUGGCCAGGGAGAGGAAGGGAUGUUUAUCAUACUUCUGAAGCCAGUGUGUUGAAGAGUUGCUUGAGGGCUGGGCAGCUGGACACAACGUCUGGGAUCCCUUCCAGAGUCUGCAGUAAACACAAGUUUGAUUAAAGACGAGUUGGUGUGAACAAGGAACUGAGGAGGAGGAGGAAGAACUGGAGAUGUUCAGGAGUUACUUGAUGGGAUAAGUAGAAGAGGAAAGCAAUUGAUGAUGUGAGGAACAAGAAAAGACAUCAUCAACUGCAUCUUUGCCACUGACUCUCAGGACCAGGAUACAUAUUACAUGCUCCUGUGAUGGCCAUUUUUUGUAUUAUAUGCCUUAAUAGAAUUACCUUUCUUGUAUGUGGUGUGAACUAUCAUGGGACUGCAGUGAUUGCAGAACCAUAAUUUCUUUAAUUUUUGUAUCAAAUUUUUACAAAUAUCUCUGGGUUUUGUGAUCACUGCAGUUUCAUGGUAUGAAUUAAAAUAUGAAAUGAGCUAAGGCAUAUCAUACAGAAAUGCACAUCACUGGAUCACAUGGCAUGUAGCCUCGACCCAAGAGAGCAAAAGGAAAGGUGAAGCUGAUAAU